AUGACACAAACCCAGCACACAAUGCGCAGCUGCAGCAGCAGCAGCAGCGAUUUACAGCAUGCGCAACAGCGACGUCGACGCCAAAUGUCAACGCAUUGUUCGACGCUGCUGCUGCUGCUGUUGCUCGUGAUCAGCUGUGGCAUUUCCGUUGCCUUCGCUGCGACAGCGCAGUCGCGCUUGUCUCAACCCCAGGGCAGAAUACGACCGCCGCGUGAGAUAUAUGAGGAUGAUGCCGGCGCCGCAGCUGCCGCUGCUGCAGCCGCCGCCGAUGCCGAGGCUGCGGAGGCAACAAGUUGCUGCCAGGGCGCAGCAGCCACAUCUGUCGAGCCUGUCACGCUUUCACUGGAACUGGGAAAUGUGACAACAGACUACGAUGGCUCCGGCGAAACCUCCUCAAAGGAGACUUUCAAGCGCAGUGUGGCACGUGCUGCCAUUCGGAAUGCGACGCCAGCGAGCUGCUCGCCACAGCCGACGAUCGUGGAGCUGAAGCCACUGACGGAGCAGGGCGGGGAGCAGACGGCCUCGAAUGUCUACUAUUUGCCAGCGUGCACGCGCAUCAAUCGCUGCAACGGAUGCUGCGGCUCCACGCUGAUCUCGUGCCAGCCGACGGAGACGGAGACGCUGCAGCUGCGCGUGCGCAAGGUGGAGCGCUUUGGGGCGAGCAGCAAGCGGGGCUAUGCCAUUGUCAAUGUGGAGCAGCAUUUGGCAUGCAAAUGCGAUUGCCGCAUCAAGGCCGAGGACUGCAAUGCGUACCAGGAGUACCGCAAGGAUCUCUGCCGCUGCGAGUGCCAGAACACAGAUGCGCGCGACAAGUGCCUGGAGCAAUCGGAUCACAAGUAUUGGGACGACGCCAACUGCACCUGCGCGUGCCGCUACAACCAGAGCUGCACUACCGGCACCGUCUUCGACGAGGCCCAAUGCAAAUGCACCGAUAUCAAGAGUCUCGAGUAUUAUUCCUAGACUACAUACAUACAUACAUUCAUACAUACUGAAAUAGCCUUAAAAACAAAACUGACUUAAAUAGUAGUUGUAGCUGUUGUUGUUGUUGUUGCUGCUGCUUGGUUCGAUUGCAAAGGCAGCUUUCAAGUAAAUCAUUCAGUUUAUAUACCAUAUAAAGUAAUCAUAUUCAUAAUCAUGAUCAAUCAAGGCAGCAACAACAAAUCGACGACAUCGCACUACAAUGUGAUACUACCUAAAAGUUUGCCAAAUUGGAAAUUCAUAUCAAAAACUUCAAAUUUAUUUAAAAGAAUGUUUUUUUUUUUUUUUUUUUUUUGGCUGUUGUUGUUUUUGUAAGGCAAGUGUAACUUAUAGCUGAGUUGAGGCCAUGAAAAUGAAAAAGAAAAAAAGAAAGAAAUUACAAAAGUAAAUAUGAAAGAGAAACACACAACGUCAAUUGUGUUGCAUUGUCCCUCGGCGCCCAGCGAUGUGGCCGACCGUCGACGCUUCAUCGUACAGGCCGUGGAGGCCGUGGAGCCGGACAACAGCACCCUAUACAGCGUCUAGGAGGGCAACCCAAUUACAAUACUUAUUUAUAUAAAACCUAUAGCUUUACUAUCAUACAUAUGUAGCUAUAUGCAUC